rnacentral:rRNA from 1 species
GGACCCGCACAAGCGGUGGAGCAUGUGGUUUAAUUCGAUGCAACGCGAAAAACCUUACCUACUCUUGACAUACUUGGAAGCUCUUGUAAUGAGAGUGUGCCUUUUGGAACCAAGAUACAGGUGCUGCAUGGCUGUCGUCAGCUCGUGUCGUGAGAUGUUCCGUUAAGUCGGAUAACGAGCGCAACCCUUACCCUUAUUUGCCAGCGGUUAGGCCGGGAACUAUAAGGGAACUGCCGGUGAUAAACCGGAGGAAGGUGAGGACGACGUCAAGUCAUCAUGGCCCUUACGAGUAGGGCUACACACGUGCUACAAUGGGGAAUACAGACGGACGCUAAGCCGCGAGGUGGUG